GACGAACGCUGGCGGCGUGCUUAACACAUGCAAGUCGAACGGAAAGGCCCUGCUUUUGUGGGGUGCUCGAGUGGCGAACGGGUGAGUAACACGUGAGUAACCUGCCCUUGACUUUGUGAUAACUUUAGGAAACUGGGGCGAAUACCGGAGAGGAGCUCCUGCUGCAUGGUGGGGGUAGGAAAGUGUCGGCGGUUGGGGAUGGACUCGCGGCUUAUCAGCUUGUUGGUGGGGUAGUGGCUUACCAAGGCUUUGACGGGUAGCCGGCCUGAGAGGGUGACCGGCCACAUUGGGACUGAGAUACGGCCCAGACCCCUACGGGAGGCAGCAGUGGGGAAUAUUGCACAAUGGGCGGAAGCCUGAUGCAGCAACGCCGCGUGCGGGAUGACGGCCUUCGGGUUGUAAACCGCUUUCGCCUGUGACGAAGCGUGAGUGACGGUAAUGGGUAAAGAAGCACCGGCUAACUACGUG
rnacentral:rRNA from 1 species